AUAGCUUCCUGGGAUUACAUAGGAAGUUUGGCCUGCCCAGCAGGGAGUAACCUAGCGGCUGCAGUAUUAUGACUGUACAAAGGUAGCAUAAUCAUUAGCCUAUUAAUUAUAGGCUGGGAUGAAAGGAACUACAUAAGAGUUCUGUGGGAUAUUAAAUUACUGACUUUUUCUGUCUGGUUAAAAGACCGGAAUAUUAAUAUUGGACAAGAAGACCCUAUUAAAGUUUAUUUACUCCCUAGGCYACAAGAUAAAUAAAUUAACCUAGUUGAUUAAAUUUUGCUGGGGCGGCAGACACAUACACAGUGUUUACGAUAAAUAUCAUAAAUAGAUAUAAAGUUUAAGAUCCUUAAGAUUGAUAGAAGAUUUAGUUACUAUAGGGAUAACAGCGUAAUACUAUUUUCGAGCUCUUAUCAACAAUAGUGUUUGCGA
rnacentral:rRNA from 1 species